rnacentral:lncRNA from 1 species
GGGGUGGUGGGGGUGGGGGGUGCAAAAGGAAGUGGAGACAGUAUGGCAGGAAAAGGCCAGAAAUCCACACAGCAGGGGUGACCCCCCCCCAUCCUGCCUGUGGCUACGUGUCUACGGGAGGAGGGACCCCAGGGCCAGCGGAGCAGCGUCACGCAAGUGUGGGCUGCUGGCUGGAGCUGCUCUGAGAGUCCUUGGUUACUGGUGGGUGAUAAGGCAGAAGAUACAAAAUAUACAUUUGGGAUGCUAACAGGACAUAGAAAAUCUGCCAAGCGACCGUGGAAAAUGGUCCAGGCCUGUGGGCCCAAGAAGCUGGGAGAAUUGGUGAUGUGCAUGCAUGUGUGGGUGUUAGAAACUGACCAAUUAAUAAAGCCGACA